AGUGGUAUAGCUGGAUCAUGUGGUGGUUCCAUUCCUAGCCUUUUGAGGAAUCUCCACACUGCUUUCCAAAGUGAUUGUACUAAUUGGUAGUUCCACCAGCAAU
rnacentral:pre_miRNA from 1 species